GGUCCAGGUGCUGUUGGCAAGCACUGCGGGCUGACGUCUCCCCUCAGAGGAUGACAGGCGAAUUGCUCACUCUCGGUCCUGGGGCAGGCAGGACCUGUUUGUCUGGGACUUCGUCAUCUGGAGGCGGCUCUUCCGGGUGGUGGGAGCCUUGACUCUGCCUUCUGAAUUCAGCUCCGGGUGACCCAUCUGCUUCGCCGCUAGAGGCGACAAAUGCAAGCUCUGGGCCACGCUCUGCAAGCAGUUCAGGCUGAGCGGUGGGAAGACUGCUGAACCGUGACCAGAAUGUGGCGUCACGCUUCCGGGGGACGCGCGCACUUCCUCAGAGUCAUGCAGUUACAGUCAUGAUGAACACAGCUGGGAACAAGCGAAAGCGAUGCUGCAAUACUCCCUGGGAAGACAGAACAGCAAAAGUCCCAUGUGGGUUGGACCUCUUAGAUCCGGUCUGCGCAUUUUCUUCCACUCAAGAGUGACCCGAGAUUCUCUUUGUGACUUUGCAAUGUGGAAGACCUGUAAGGAUUAAAAUCGUGAGACACCAAUCCCCUGCAGAACUGCCCCGAAGAAGACACUGAGGAGGAAAUAGGAGGCUAAGAGAGGUCUCUUGCAGAGCCCGGAGAUCAUCAGCUCAGCUUCACUGAAUGGCCAGCAAAUCCCAGGGGUCCUCACUUCUGUCCUCCCAGUGCUGGAUUACAGGCUGGCUGGGAACUCACGAUGUAGCCCAGGUUGGCCUGCAGCUAUCCUCCUGCCUCAGGCUCUCAAAUGCUGAGAAGACAGGUCAGCAUGCCUGACUAGAGACUUCUUUUCUCUGUGACAGUCUCUGGGUGGUUAGGAGCACGGGACAGAGUUCACUCGCUUCUAAAAUUACCGAGGUCAGCGCCAAGCCCUCUCCAGCAAUGCCAUCUGCUGUAUUUGUGAUACAGUCACAGUCCUCCUCACAUCUGAAUUCCAUCCUGGGACUCCCCACCUCCUAAAUGACUAAAUUCACAUACAUUAAGGCAUGCACUGGGGCAUAUGGUAGCCAGCUGAGGACUUUGGAACUGUGACUGGACCCUGAGAGCUCUGACCUCAUUGUGAAUUAAUCCCUCGAUGGAGUCAUAAUAUGAUGACAUUAUUGAGGUGGUAAAAAGUAGAAGAUGGGGCCUGGUCUAAGGAAGUAAGUCAUCCUGGAAAGACAGUCUUGUGCCCUGCUUCCUCUCCUAUCUGUGUCUGCUUCAGUCCACCAUGAGGUAAAGCUACUUGGUUCUACUACGCCCCACCCUCGUGAAGGUCUGCCUUACCUCAGGCCCAGACAACAGGUGGCUAAGGGACUGUGCGCUAAAACCUUUGAGACUGUGAACCAAAGUGAAUCACCCCUUAAUUCGGUUUUCCUUGGCUAUCGCACUUACCUAUUCACCUACUGAAGGAAGUCUUGCUUGUUCAGUUUGGGACAAGUAUGAGGAAAGAUGCUACAAAUCUUUCCCUCUUACUCCCACCAAGAUGUGCAGAGGCAGAAGCUUGCGCUCAUUCAAGAUCCGGCUUCUCGCAUAACCCACAGCACAACCUUUGCAGAGGAAGCAUUGCCGCUGAAGGUGUAGUAGAUGCUUACCACUUUACAAGAGGUGCUGAAGGCUACCCUCAUCCAUGAUGGACUAGUCUGUGGAAGCUGGAGUGACUGCCAAAACCUCCGAUGAGAGCCAAGGCCCUCUCUGUGUGCUGGUAUCCAAUUGUGAGGAGCCUCUGUACGUCAAGGGCCUCAAGGUGGAGGCCCUUUGAGCCGAGCACCAAGCAACCUAAUUAAGGUUGAUAACAAUAAGAAACUAGGGGAGAUUCAUUAGCCUCCGUAAAACUGAUCGUGAGGGGAACCACACCAAGUGGUUGAUGGCAGUUGUGCAGUAGUUAAGGACUGUGGCCUCAGGCCAGCAUGUCACCAAAGAAUACUUCAAAUAAAAGAAAUAAACAAAAUUUGGCUCAUUUUAAA